rnacentral:rRNA from 1 species
AGUACGAGGCAGGAGGACCAGUGUCACGUCUUCCGUUUCGGAGCACGGCCCAGGGAGUUCACUGGGGUGGCGAGCUUAAGGGGUUCAACCCCGUAGGCGUAGGGAAACCGACAGCCCGCAUCCACUCUAUUGAGUGGAGAGGGGCGGGGUCCGGUGAGGGCCUGAAUAGUCACCCCAGUGAUAACCCGAUACCGAGCGAUCUAGGCCUGGGCAGGGUGAAGCCAGGCGAAAGCCUGGUGGAGGCCCGAAGGGGUUCUGACGUGCAAUUCGUUCCUCUGACCCGGGCCUAGGGGCAAAAGACCAAUCAAGCUCGGUGGUAGCUGGUUCCCCCCGAAGUGGGUCCCAGCCCAGCUCGCCCGGAGGUUGCUGGUGGGGUAGAGCUACCAAUUGGGGAUGUGUGGGCCGAGAGGCCCAGCUCCCCUUUUGAACUCCGAACCUGCCAGCUCCGUAGAUGGGCGGAGACGGAUUCCACGGGAAAAGCCUGUGGGUCGAGAGGGGAACAACCCGGACCCGGGUUAAUGCCCCUAAAUGCUGGCUUAGUGUUAAGGUAAAGGGCGUCCUGGGUCUAAGACAGCUGGGAGGUAGGCUUAGAAGCAGUCAUCCUUUAAAGAGUGCGUAACAGCUCACCAGCCGAGACCCAGGGCCCCGAAGAUUUUCGGGGCUAAGCCAGCUGCAGAGACCCGGGGGUGCAUCCUGUUUAGGAUGCAUCGGUAGGGGGGCGCUCCGGUUGGGCAGAAGCUGGGCCGAGAGGUCCAGUGGACCGACCGGAGGUGCAGAUCCUGGGGGUAGUAACAGCAAAGAGGGGUGGGAAUCCCCUCCGCCGUAAGGGCCAGGGUUCCUCGGCAACGAUCGUCGGCCGAGGGUCAGCCGGUCCCUAAGGCAGCACAUAGCUUGUAGCUGCCGAAGGGGAAACUGGUUAAUAUUCCAGUGCCUUGGAGGUAAUAUGCGCCAGCCCCUUCGCUUCGGGGUAGGCCGAGCAGGGCCGCCGCCCUGUCUAACCUGCCUAAGCCUGGGGAGAACCGUAAUGGUGAGAACUGGGUGAAGGCAGGGACGGGCCGACCGUAAGGUCGGUUCGGCCGAUCCCUGGAGCCCAUGAAAAGGGGGUUGGUUAGAUGCCUCCAAGACCGUACCGAGAACCGACACAGGUGCCCUAGAUGAGUAGUCUAAGGCGUGUCGGGAUCACCCCAGGUCAGGGAACUCGGCAAAUUGGCCCCGUACCUUCGGUAGAAGGGGUGCCUGGGCCUUUGGGCGAAAGCCUGGGGGCCUAGGUCGCAGUGACAAGGGGGAGGCGACUGUUUAAUAAAAACAUAGGUCCCCGCAAGCCCGUAAGGGUGAGUACGGGGGCUGAAUCCUGGCCACUGGCGGUCCGUGAAACCCGGGUACAACCGGGCGAAGCGCCGCCGAAGGCCGGGAGUAACUCUGACUCUCGAAAAAGGGAGUCGUUAAACUUGGCUAUAUGCGGGGAAAGGAGAAUUCGAAUCCCCCGAGUAGGGAAAAGUGAUUCGAAUUAUGAUCCUGACCCGCAGGGAACCAUCCGCCUCCUUUUUAAGGAAUAAAGUAUAACUUAACAAGGGGAACAGUAUGCUUAAUGAAUUUAAGGACUUAAUAGAUCCAAGAAGACUUCCAAGUAGGAAAAAAUACCUUCACUAUUACAUAGUUGGAUUAGUAGACAGCGAGGGCUGUUUCUCAAUAUCUAUAAAAAAACAGGAAAAUACGAAAUUUGGUUGGGUUAUUGAUCCUGUAUUUCAUGUAACACAAAGUAAAGAAAAUAGAAUUGUACUUGAAAUUUUAAAAAGAAUCUUUAAUUGUGGUAGAAUAAUUCCAAAACCAGGUCAAGAAGAAACAACACUUCAAUACAUUGUAGAUUCUAGAAGAAACUUAGUAGAAAAAAUAAUUCCUUUCUUCAAAAAGAAUAAACCAAUUAUAAAGUGGCAAGAAUUUCAACUAUUUGCUGAAAUAGUUAAAGGAUUGGAAAAGGGCGAACAUAAGGCCUUGAACGGUUUCAUAAAACUUCUUAAAAAAGCAUAUGAAGCUUCUCCAAAUAGAAAACAUGAACUUAAUGAAAUAUUAUUAAGUAUUGAAAGGCGGAUGGGCGCCUCAGAGACCAUACGCCAAGCUCCGUAGGGCAAUUUUGAAGAUGCGCCCGAGGGAGAAGAUAUGGUCCAACCCAAUAUGGGUUGCUUAAGGUAGCCAAAUGCCUUGUCGGGUAAGUUCCGACGUGCAUGAAUGGAUCAACGACCUCCCCACUGUCCCGACCUGGGGCCCGGUGAACCUACCUCUUGGUGAAAAGGCCAAGUACCCCCAACGUGGGGAGAAGACCCCGUGGAGCUUUACUGCAGCCUGCUGCUGGGAUAUGGCUACGAUUGCAGAGCGUAGGUGGGAGUUGAUGAUGCCAGGCUCUCCGGGGCCUGGAGGAGACGCCAAUGUAACACCACCCUUUCGUAGCUGUAUCUCUUACUGGGGCGUAAGCCCUGGGACAACGGCAGGUGGGCAGUUCGGCUGGGGCGGCACGCCCUUGAAAAGAUAUCAAGGGCGCCCAAAGGUCGGCUCAGGCGGGUCAGAACUCCGCCGUAGAGGGCAAGGCCAAAAGCCGGCCUGAUUGGGUCCUUAACAGUAAGGGACCCAAAGGCGAAAGCCUGGCCUAGCGACCGCUCGUGACCCCCUCAGUGGGGGCCGGGCAUGACAGAAAAGCUACCCCGGGGAUAACAGAGCCGUCGCGGGCGAGAGUCCCCAUCGACCCCGCGGUUUGCUACCCAGAUGUCGGCUCUUCCCAUCCUGGGAGUGCAGCAGCUCCCAAGGGUGGGGCUGCCCGCCCAUUAAAGGGGAACGUGAGUUGGGUUUAGACCGUCGUGAGACAGGUCGGACUCUCCCUGUUGGGGGUGUUGGUCGCCUGAGGGGAAGGUGCGCCCAGUACGAGAGGAACGGCGCACCGCGGCCUCUAGUUUACCGGUUGUCCGGUAGGGCAUCGCCGGGCAGCCACGCCGCAAGGGUUAACCGCUGAAAGCAUCUAAGCGGGAAACCCUCCCCGAAACCAGGCGGCCAUUCCGCCUUAAAGGCGGACGAAGGCUCCCAUAGAACAUGGGGUUGAUGGGACGGGGGUGUAAGCACCAAGGCUUCGGCCAAGGUGUUCAGCCCGCCGUUCCCAAUCGCCUGAGGUGCAGGCCUG